rnacentral:piRNA from 1 species
CGAGGCCUUCUGAUUCAGGCAUGCAUAUA